CACAGUCGUUUCUUCUUCUUCUUCUCUUCGACGGAGAAAAAGGGUUUCUAGGGUUUUGAGAAUCCACAACACAGCAACAAUGUCGAUGUCAAAGAGUUCCAAAAUGCUUCAAUACAUCAACUACCGUAUGCGCGUAACCAUUCAAGACGGUCGUCAACUCGUCGGAAAGUUCAUGGCCUUCGACCGCCACAUGAAUCUCGUUCUCGGCGACUGUGAAGAGUUUCGCAAACUUCCACCAGUAAAAGGCAAGAAAACCACUGAUGGCGACCGUGAAGAACGCCGCACACUCGGCCUUCUCCUCCUCCGCGGUGAAGAGGUUGUUUCGAUGACUGUUGAAGGUCCUCCUCCUCCGGAAGAAUCUCGUUCCAAGGCUGUUAAUGCUGCUGCAAUGGCUGGUCCUGGAAUUGGUCGUGCUGCUGGAAGAGGUAUUCCUCCUCCGGCGACAGUUAUUCAAGCUCAGCCUGGUCUUGCUGGUCCUGUUCGUGGUGUUGGUGGACCUGCUCCUGGUAUGAUGCAGCCGCAAAUCUCGCGUCCUCCGGUUUCGUAUCCCGGUGGUCCGCCGGUUAUGCGUCCACCGCCUGGUCAGAUGCCAUAUCCCGGUAUGCCAGGUGGUCCUCCGAGACCAGGUGGUCCGCCACCGCAAUUUGCUCCUCCGAGACCUGGUGGUCCUCCUCCGCCACAAUUUUCCAUGCCGCCUCCUCAGUUUGGACAGAGACCUAUGGGCCCACCUCCUCCUGGACAGAUGAUGAGAGGACCUCCUCCUCAUCCUGGAAUGCAGGGACCGCCUCGUCCCGGAAUGCCUCCUCCUCCUGGAAGUGGUGUUCCUGUCUUUGGUCCGCCUCGUCCCGGCAUGCCCCCUCCUCCAAAUCAGCAGCAACAGCAGCAGUGAUGAUGGUAGAAGAUUGGUUGAAAGUUGUAGGGGAUUCCCAUCCUUUCUCCUUUACAGCGAUAGAUAGUCAUUUGGUGUGGAGAAGAAUUGAGAAUAGGUUUCUUCUUAUUGGAGGUUUGAAGAUACGGAGAUUUGACUUAUCACAACACAAUAUCCAGCUCGUUCCGUGGAAGUAAUUGUUGCUUGUAUAACCUUGAAUUAUUAUCAUAUUAUGGAGUUUUUUAUGUCUUGAUGAGAAUGUUAUAUUAAAACAGCAUGUUUUGGAGGAAGUUAUUGUACUGCAACUCGAGUAUUAGACAUAUAAGACGGCUGUGUAGAUUGAUGGGAAAAUGCUGGAUUGUGUAUUGAUUUCUAAGUGUAGGGCAUUGAUCUGUCUCUUUUUAAUCUUUCGGGAUAUAUAACACAAUUAUCAUUUAGGGGAUGUUACUUCAGUAGUCUUUUU